rnacentral:rRNA from 1 species
AACAACGUACAAACCUUAUCGAUAAACAAUUGGAGGGCAAGUCUGGUGCCAGCAGCCGCGGUAAUUCCAGCUCCAAUAGCGUAUAUUAACGUUGUUGCAGUUAAAAAGCUCGUAGUUGAAGUGAAGUGAACAAAGAAGAGAAGAAUCUUCGGAUUCGGAUCUAAUGCGUUGACUCUUUCCAAAGUCAAUGUAUGGGUAUUCAUUUAUCUAUAUAUUGUGUUUGGUCGUUUACUGUGAGAAAAUUAGAGUGUUCAAAGCAGACGUUUGUUUGAAUACAUUAGCAUGGAAUAAUCAUAUAAGGCUUUCAUGUGUAUUUGAUUGGUUUGGAUAUGAAAGCAAGGUUAAUAGGGACAGUUGGGGGUAUUCAUAUUCAAUAGUCAGAGGUGAAAUUCUCGGAUUUAUGGAAGAUGAAC